rnacentral:rRNA from 1 species
UUAACGCAAUAAGUACCCCGCCUGGGGAGUACGACCGCAAGGUUGAAACUCAAAGGAAUUGACGGGGGCCCGCACAAGCGAUGGAGUAUGUGGUUUAAUUCGACGCAACGCGAAGAACCUUACCAGGUCUUGACGUUGAUGGACAGAACUAGAGAUAGUUCCUCUUCUUCGGAAGCCAGAAAACAGGUGGUGCACGGUUGUCGUCAGCUCGUGUCGUGAGAUGUUGGGUUAAGUCCCGCAACGAGCGCAACCCCUAUCUUAUGUUGCCAGCACUUUGGGUGGGAACUCAUGAGAGACUGCCGCAGACAAUGCGGAGGAAGGCGGGGAUGACGUCAAAUCAUCAUGCCCCUUAUGACCUGGGCUACACACGUACUACAAUGGGAGUUAAUAGACGGAAGCAAUACCGCGAGGUGGAGCAAACCCGAGAAACACUCUCUCAGUUCGGAUCGUAGGCUGCAACUCGCCUACGUGAAGUCGGAAUCGCUAGUAAUCGCAGGUCAGCAUACUGCGGUGAAUACGUUCCCGGGCCUUGCACACACCGCCCGUCAGCACUCACCGCCCG